ensembl:antisense D630008O14Rik uncharacterized LOC110302444
UUAAAUGUGACAGCACUGCCAGCAGGUACCUGUGGCCGCCUAAAGCCCCGCCGGGCUUCUUCUUUUGUAUGGUGGUCUUCCUGCCUUCACUAUGCCCUCAGGCAGGAUGGACACUACCUGCUUUCUCCUCUCUACAGUGCCAAGUGUCUUAGGAAGAGCAGUUCUCCUGCUCCAGACAGGCCCAGCCUGGAGGGCCUGAGGGUAGCAGACCUCGGUAAGUGAAUCUCGAUAUUGCUCUUUCUUACUGGGUAAGUCUGAGCUCAGAGACCAGCUGCUCUGUUCCAAACCCGGUGAGGAGGCUGGUGAGGGCCACACUCAAGGCAGGCAGCCCAGGCCAAGUUGCUGAGCCACAGAGAGGUUCUGCAGAUGUUGUCUCCAUAAAGCAGGCACUUGUGGCUGCCUGAAGCGCUAGGUGACCCCCAUUCUUCCUGAUGCUGAAGAAGUCAUCACACAUCCACUUCCGGAAUCCAGAAGCCUUUGUUUCCUCCUCGGACAGACAGGGAAGUCUCAGUGGGUACCAAGUUCAUCUGAAGUUUCCAGCCUUUGUCCUCUGACUGGUUUCAAUAUGAGACCAUGACAGAGACUGACUGGUCAGAAAACAACAUUCAACCACGAAACUCCAGGUGGUUACUUUUCCAUCUUUCCUGGGAUCUUACUGGUCUUGAACUCCACAUUCUUCUACUCUGGACUCCUGAGUGUGGGGAUUACAGUCAUACAGAACCACACCCACUGGUCCUAAAAUAGUUUUCUUUUCUCUUUGUUUUAAGGGAAUGUCUACCAAAUGCUACACAGUGUUGAGACAAAUACUGUUCAGCCUAGUGUUGCUACUACACAGAAGGAUAAGAUGAAAUCCUUGUCUUCUCACACUUGAGCUGGGGCACCCACAGCUACAGAUCUGAAUAUGGCAACAUGAUGAGCUGUUACCACAAUGGACUGUGGGGACUGUGUAUGAGGGGAAUGUGAUGGAGGUAGCAUCUGUUUUGAGUGGCGUUUAGAGGCUUCCCUGGUAUACACUGCCACAAUAAAUAUGUCACAUUGGAAGGU